rnacentral:rRNA from 1 species
GAUGAACGCUGGCGGCGUGCCUAAUACAUGCAAGUCGAGCGAACAGAUAAGGAGCUUGCUCCUUUGAAGUUAGCGGCGGACGGGUGAGUAACACGUGGGUAACCUACCUAUAAGACUGGGAUAACUUCGGGAAACCGGAGCUAAUACCGGAUAACAUUUAGAACCGCAUGGCUCUAAAGUGAAAGAUGGUUUUGCUAUCACUUAUAGAUGGACCCGCGCCGUAUUAGCUAGUUGGUAAGGUAACGGCUUACCAAGGCGACGAUACGUAGCCGACCUGAGAGGGUGAUCGGCCACACUGGAACUGAGACACGGUCCAGACUCCUACGGGAGGCAGCAGUAGGGAAUCUUCCGCAAUGGGCGAAAGCCUGACGGAGCAACGCCGCGUGAGUGAUGAAGGGUUUCGGCUCGUAAAACUCUGUUAUUAGGGAAGAACAAAUGUGUAAGUAACUGUGCACAUCUUGACGGUACCUAAUCAGAAAGCCACGGCUAACUACGUGCCAGCAGCCGCGGUAAUACGUAGGUGGCAAGCGUUAUCCGGAAUUAUUGGGCGUAAAGCGCGCGUAGGCGGUUUCUUAAGUCUGAUGUGAAAGCCCACGACUCAACCGUGGAGGGUCAUUGGAAACUGGGAAACUUGAGUGCAGAAGAGGAAAGUGGAAUUCCAUGUGUAGCGGUGAAAUGCGCAGAGAUAUGGAGGAACACCAGUGGCGAAGGCGACUUUCUGGUCUGUAACUGACGCUGAUGUGCGAAAGCGUGGGGAUCAAACAGGAUUAGAUACCCUGGUAGUCCACGCCGUAAACGAUGAGUGCUAAGUGUUAGGGGGUUUCCGCCCCUUAGUGCUGCAGCUAACGCAUUAAGCACUCCGCCUGGGGAGUACGACCGCAAGGUUGAAACUCAAAGGAAUUGACGGGGACCCGCACAAGCGGUGGAGCAUGUGGUUUAAUUCGAAGCAACGCGAAGAACCUUACCAAAUCUUGACAUCCUUUGAAAACUCUAGAGAUAGAGCCUUCCCCUUCGGGGGACAAAGUGACAGGUGGUGCAUGGUUGUCGUCAGCUCGUGUCGUGAGAUGUUGGGUUAAGUCCCGCAACGAGCGCAACCCUUAAGCUUAGUUGCCAUCAUUAAGUUGGGCACUCUAGGUUGACUGCCGGUGACAAACCGGAGGAAGGUGGGGAUGACGUCAAAUCAUCAUGCCCCUUAUGAUUUGGGCUACACACGUGCUACAAUGGACAAUACAAAGGGCAGCUAAACCGCGAGGUCAUGCAAAUCCCAUAAAGUUGUUCUCAGUUCGGAUUGUAGUCUGCAACUCGACUACAUGAAGCUGGAAUCGCUAGUAAUCGUAGAUCAGCAUGCUACGGUGAAUACGUUCCCGGGUCU